ACAGAUUUUUGAGCUGCUUUUGGAGUUAAAAGCGAUUCUGGGUAUUUUACAUGGUGUUUGGUGAGACACCAAAUUUCUGCUUUUAGGACCUUCCGCUUCACCCAACAGCGGUAUUUGAGAAGCAGCUAAUGGGUUGCUUUCCAAAGCUGAUUUUGGGGAAAACAGGGAGAUGCUACAGUAGCCCUUUAAUGAAAUUUUCAGAUUUCCAGCUUUGUCGUCCUUCUAACCUACCCGUGUAAACUCACCCCAUUCUGGCAUUCUCUCCUUCCCAUUCUCUCUGCCGUCGAAUACCUCAAAGCACAUCGCUAAUCUUAUCACCCAGGCUCGAAGAAUCAGUCAAGACUUAACCCAUCGAUCAAGUUCACUUCAGAUUGUAGAGGGUGUGAAUUUGUAGUUUGGAAAUUUACUGAAUUGAAGCAUGGGUCAUCUGGAAUUCUAGAUUUUAUGAGAAUCAGUUUCGUUUUGGGGGAGGAGAGAAAUAGGGUUGUGUUUAGAUCAAUAUUCAGUAGCUUUUUGGUGUUUCUUUAUGUACUACAGAGAGUUCCAAAUAUCAGGUGUUUGAGACAAAUAUGUGGUUUUGGUUCAUUCUUGCAUAUUCAGAGGAGGAUUUAAGACGGAUACCAGCUCUUCAGGGGAUGGAUUAUCCAACAUGGCCUGAGUUGUAUGCAAUUCAACAAUUAUAAGUAACAAUUGUGUAUGACAGACAAACUUGCAUUUUUCCACUUUGUGUAAGGGCAGCUAUGAUGUGUUUCGUACUUGCAAGGUGCAAUUCUUACCAGUUGUGCGUUAACCUGCACGCAGAAGUAGUAUAUCAACUCUAGUUGUGCUUUAGCAUGGGAGACAUCAUCGAUUGAGUUUUAAGAGGAAUGAAAUUCUUUUUAUAGGUGAUGCUAACAUUCUGAACACCAAUAAAUAGUUAUACUCGUUGAAAUUUAGGUGGGAUUGGUGAGGAUCCAUGGAUGUGUUGGUCUUUACAUAUGUAUAGUGAUGGUGUAUCCGCAUCAUACAGACGUUUUGUGUCAUAUUUUUUUAUGAGCACAUUAUAUAUCA